UGGCCCCGAGCGCCCACCUGGGGCUCGCCCGGCCCGCGGGGCGCUGGGGCCGAGGAGUGCAGAGGGGCUUAGGCCGGGCUCCGGGUCAUUCGUUCGUCCUUUCAUUCAUUCAUUGCUUGAGCUGACUCGGGGAUUGAGAUGGGUAGUCUGUGGAUCCUAGAAUGAGUCUGGAGAUGGUGAAGAGAUUGCCAAGCGGAACUGCACUUAAGCCUCGAUUAGCAAGAAACAGCUUACCUUGUGGAAUCUCGGGCCUUUCUUCUGACCACUGUAGGGAUUAAGAGGACAAGUAACAGUGGGCGUAGAUGUCAUAUAAGGAUCUGCUGUGGCCAUCAAACCUCUCAUUCCCUGAAUUUCUCUGAAGUGGAAGAAGCGAUAUCCUUUUCGAGACACCCAGAGCUAAGAUGAUUGUCCACGCCAGGACUUAAUGAUCACCUGUUUCUCAAGAAGACAACUGCAGCAGCUCGAAGGAGCCCUGUGAUUCAGUGAGGUGCUGUGUGUGGCCCAUGAACAAAGAAGAUAUACUUUCUGCCCUUGAGAAACUUGUGAUCCAGAGACAGGCUAGACUAAUCUGGAUCCACUUGUUUCCAUUCUCUGCUUUGAGAACAAAUCCAGAUGUUGGGACAUGAACUUGACAGUGUUCACCUUGUUCUCCUGGAGACAGUGGGGAAACGGAGGAUUCGAGACAUUCCUUGUACCUUGCCCAGGACCACAGAUCUGCAGCCAGAGGCCCACACUUCCGGACUCAUUUGAGUGAUUACAGCAAAGACGAAGUCGUCGUGGAUUUCAUCACACGGGAGGCCUGCCACAUCUGGAACACUGUUUCCUGGGAUGACUUCUAGGAAACAGUUGGCCAAGGAAAUUUGUUGAUGCAGAGGCCCAGGAAAACGUUUCUUCUCAAUCAAGAGUCCUACUGAAUAGAUUCUAGUUGGAAAUAAUUAUUUCACACUGGUCAGAUUUUCAGAGGAAGAGUUUAGGGGCUGGAGUAAAAUCACCUUCAAAGAUCCAAGAAAGUCUGGACAUUUUGUCAUUGCCAUUCGUCUUAGACCCCUUAGGCUGCUGUAACAAAAAUACCGCCACCUGGGUGACUUCAACAGCAAGGAUUUACUUCUCAUGGUUUUGGAGGCUGGAAAGUCCAAGAUCAAGGGAGCAGCAGAUUUGGUAGCUGGUGAGGACCUGCUUGCUAUGUCAUAGACGGCCGUCUCUUCACCCUGUUCUGACAUGGGGGAAGGGGCUAGGGAGCCCUCUGGGGUCUGUUUUAUAAGGGCAGUAAUCGCAUUCAUGAAGUUGCCACCCAAAUGAUCUAACCACUUCCCAAAGGCUCCACCUCCUAACCAUCAAAAUGGGGAAUAAGUUUCAACAUAGGAAUUUUAGGGGGACACUCAUGUUCAGUCUAUAACACCAUCCAAGUUAAUAUCUUAGAAACUAAGUCAAAACUCUAGGUAGCAGGCCAACCACGACCUUAAUAAAGCCCUAAGCAGGACCUUGAUUACUGAGCUGGGCUUUGGCAUCAUUAGAAUCAAGUCUGAGCCCCUCUUCCCUUAUAAUAGUGGUGUGAUCUCAGGCUGCUUUCUACAGCUUCACAAUCUUGAUCUUUAAAACGAGGACAAUAUAAUAAUAAUAGCAUCUUCCUGCAUAAAUCUCAUGAGGAUCAAAUGAGACUGCAGAUGUACACCCUGGGCCUGAGGUAAGCGUUCGUUUAACGCUGGCUAUUAAAACUAUAUGCUGUUUUUGUUAGUCUCCAGUCCUCCCAGAGUGAUGAGCACUGAAACCCCUUAAGUAGUGAAACGAUUAUUUUAUUCCUGGGCAGGGAGGGAGGAGGAGCCAGACUGAGGGGAAGAGGGACCCCAGGAUGUAGAGUUGGUGGUCACAGCCCCAGAAAAGGAAGGAGAGCAGGCCAAGGGGCUGGGACUCUUGCUUGAUGGAGAACAGAGAGCUGGAAGCAGCCCCGAGGCCUAACAGCCACAGAAGAGAGGAAAGGACUGAGUGCAGCCAAAACAAACUUGUCAGACAUUGCCACGAAAUGCCACCGAGGUCCCUGUAAAAUGCCGGGCACACCUUCAGGGAAAGAUAGAAACAACUAUGCAAUUUGGUUGCUUCAUUUUUCUCUUGCAUUUCUAGCUUAGAUUUUUUUUUUCUCUCUUAAUAAAAUUUUGCUACCGU